rnacentral:rRNA from 1 species
GAUGAACGCUGGCGGCGUGCCUAACACAUGCAAGUCGAGCGAACGGACGAGAAGCGUGCUUCUCUGAUGUUAGCGGCGGACGGGUGAGUAACACAUGCAUCACCUACCUAUAAGACUGGGAUAACAACGGGAAACCGGAGCUACUACCGGAUAAUAUUUUCAACCGCUUGGUUCAAAAGUGAAAGACGGUCUUGCUGUCACUUAUAGAUGGAUCCGCGCUGCAUUAGCUAGUUGGUAAGGUAACGGCUUACCAAGGCAACGAUGCAUAGCUGACCUGAGAGGGUGAUCGGCCACACUGGAACUGAGACACGGUCCAGACUCCUACGGGAGGCAGCAGUAGGGAAUCUUCCACAAUGGGCGAAAGCCUGACGGAGCCACGCCGCGUGAGUGAUGAAGGUCUUCGGAUCGUAAAACUCUGUUAUUAGGGAAGAACAUAAGUGUAAGUAACUGUGCACAUCUUGACGGUACCUAAUGAAUAAGCCACGGCUAACUACGUG